CACCAUUAACAGCCACACUAACACCACGACCACGACCUCGUAAGUUUAGCACCAUCAAAGCCUCUUAAACCUUAUCCAAUGAAUUAAUCCCGAAAAAUCAUCAGACAAAAAAGGAAAAUCAACAACAAAAUAUCCCAUACACAAAUCUUUUCAUGAUAGGUGGAUUUCCACCACACUGUUACCAUAACCUCUCGACCUCUCGAAUCCAUUAGGAUGGCCAUCUUUCCCUCCAGAAAAAGUAAAACCUUUUUUCUUUUUGUCAACACCAUAUUUUAAAUUCCAAUCCUUCAACAAUUAAUUCAAAUUUUCUAACUCCUCCAAGAUUGAAUUUCACACCACCUUUGCUCAGCUCCUCGUUGGUAGGAUGGGAGGCGUAAAACCCUUCCUUGGGACAGCAAACCGGAAGCGUGAAGGCAGUGGAGGAGGGAGAGGUGGGGUGUUGCAACUUCUUCUCUGGGAGUGGAGUUGGGGAAGCUGGGUAGGGGAUAGAAAGCGAGGAGUUGGGUUUCACUACUGUUUGUUUUCUGAGAUAAUUCUAUGAUGGGGUUUUGUGGGACUCUGGUGAUUGAAUUCACAAUGCAGGAAUUUUUUUCAUUUGAAACCCUUUACUUUUAUUAGCUAAUUAUUGGUGCCAAAUUUGCAUAUAUAUACAAUGAUAGUGUAUAUAGUGUUAUUGUCAGUGCAGGAAAAAAUUAAUCCUAUAUUAUAUGGAUAAAAAAGGGUAUUUUUGGAACAAAAGACGAUAAUGGUCCUUUUAAUUGCCAGAGUUUAGUGGAUUGUAGUAGAUUGCCAAAAAUCAAAACUUGAAAGUUGUUGAUUGCUAAAAUUAAGGUUUAGAGGCGCAAACUGCAAUAAACCAAUUUUUAGCCAAAGAGUGAGAUAAGUUUUAGAGUGACUUGCAUUUUUUUGUUUUUUUUUUUGUUUUAAUGUAAACAGGAGGACUCAAAUUCGAGACCUCUCACUUAUACUCCCUUCUCCCGUACCACCAAACCCAACCUUCCCCCAAAGAGUGACUUGCAUUUUCUUAUGUUUAAUGUUACAUUGUCUAUAUCUAUUGUUUGUAAGCUCACAAAUAAUAAAACAAUUUUUUUUUGUUGCAUUUUAAACAAGAUUUUAC
rnacentral:lncRNA from 1 species